AUCACUUUUCGGCAUUUUGGCUAAGAUCAAGUGUAGUAUCUAUUCUUAUCAGUUUAAUAUCUAAUAUGUCCUCUAUCCAAGGACAGUAGUUAAAUGGAUUUGGGGGAUUGGGAUAUGGAAUAGGAGCUUGCUCUGUCCACUACAUACAUUGACCUGCUAUUGCAGUACUUCUAGGAACGGUGCACACACA